rnacentral:lncRNA from 1 species
AAUAACAUCGUUUGACAAGACCCAACACUAUUCAUCAUCCAUACCAACCCAUUCUUCUAAGGUUUCAUGAAUAGAGGCCUAAAUACAAAUCGAUCUUCAUAAACAUACUCUUCUACAUCCAUGGAGUAUAAUGUAUAAGGUUGGAGUGAAGGGAAUGUCUUUUUGUCAAACCCUAGAAGAAUUCAAGGUUUGGGUAGUGUUCUUGAGAUUUUCUUCAACAAUCUGAAAUUUUCAUGUAGCUAAAGAGUUAGGAGGUGUAUUUAAUGGACCAAUUCUACCAAGAAGGACAUUAAAUUCUUACCUUGAUGAAGUAUUAAUGGUAGAGAACUCCCUUCUCUAUCUCUUAAGUCUUUAAGAACCAACUCCCAAAUAAUAGAAUGACCCUUGCCCGUUAUAGCCUUUAAACACAUUCAGCAGAUUUAAGCCAUAAAGGAUGCGUCGCAUCUCCAUCGCCCGUGUCCUUCUCAUUCAGAAAAUUUGGACACGAGGUUGGACGCCUUCAGAGCAGUUUACUGCUUAUGUGAUGGGCUUUUG